CCAGCAGCAGGUUGUUCUUCAUUUCUUUUAAUGUUCGUCCAGUACAUUGCUAAACAAGAGAUUAGAUCAGUCUGUAUAUGCUAUCAUUUCUUCCCCUAAAUAUAGAGGAUGAAAUCAGUGUUCAAAAUAAUUAAGGAAAGCCCACUUUAGUGUCCUUAUCUUGUUAUCAGAAAUUUUGGAGGCACAGAAAACCUUGCUAAUCACUGCCUCCCUUGUCAUUGUUAGACAAAUUACAGCACCAAAGCUGUACGGUGGGAAAUGAGAUACCAAACUAAAAUGAAUUAUCCACAAUGGAGUCAUGACGAGAAAAGUCAGUGCUCAGUAAACUCAUCCAGGAGUUUGAAGUACCAUUGCCUUCCCAGCUAAAGAUUUGAGUUAUGGCUUUGGGUAAACAGCUACAAAAAGACUUCAAGGACAGAGAUACGCUGGAUAUAAGAUGAAAAAAUUACUAAUCCUGCAGCCUCCCUGUCUGCACACUCACAUUUUACUGGAGAUGGUCCCAAAAAUGUUCUUUUGUCUGCAUUAGUGUUUAGAACAAUAUCAGAUCUUUUGUGCUGCUUUCCUGUAGCUAAGCCACAUCUGCCCUUUGAAGCCAAGUCCAUGUGAAUAGCCAUGCUCCACAGCCUCCUGUGCAUUGUACCUGUACCAAGCUGCCUGGGAAUGUCUCCUGUUGAAAAUACAUGCUAUGCAGGAAAGGGUAGUCUAUAUCCUCUCUCUCUCUCUCUCUUUCUCUGUCAAUAUAAGUAUACAGUGGACAGUUUCACUCUCCAUCAAAGCCCAAAAUAUCUUGGGCUUGAACAGAUCCAGAAACUCCAGCAUAUUCUGGUCAACACAUCCUUCACUUCAAGCUGUUUAUUACAAACACUGUACAUGAGCCUCAGAGUGUGUCACAGACUGAACAUUGUUCAGGACUGGUGGAGCUCAUGCUGUCAGUGUUGGAUUUUUAAUCAUUAGUAAAAUCAUUUACCAGUGUUACUGUGCUGCCCCUCUGCCAUAUUUAAGGUCAUUCACAAACUAUGUACAGUUAGAGAGAUUUCAGGUACCUGCAUUUUCUGGAAAUAGAGAUCAGAACACAUGCUUAACAGGAAGGCUACCUCCUCCUGCUCACUCAACAAUGUGCCUCAGCAUAGAAUUCAAAUGUUCCUUGAACACCUCCAAGGUAGGUGACUCCGCCACCUCCCUGGGCAGCCUCCCUGCUACAUCUGUCUGUGGCUCCCUGCAGCUGACAAACACCUCAUUUCGACGGAAUUUCAUUAUUUUUAUGUUUGGUCCAAAGCUCCACAUGGAGUGAUGGGACAAUAGGGCCACAGGAGAAAGUCACAAGAAACCGAUAGGAACAAGGAAAGGCUAAAAUGAAAAAAGCAACAGAUCAGCAAUGAAAACUUGGCCAGCUGGCAUACAAACAUUUCAGUGAAAUUCAUUAAAACUAUCCCAGUGCAUGCCAAGAUUUACUGAACUCUUCACUAGUAAACAGAGAUAGCCAAGAGCAACAGUCCUAGUCUAGUAAUGUCAAAAUCAAUUGCUGCUAUUCCAUUUAGCAUUAUACUGCACCUAAUGUUGGGUUAUACGUAGGCACGUUUAUUAAUUGUCACUAUUCUUUUUUGUAAACCUAUCCAUCAAAGAGUGCAAUUUUAGGGGGAGGAUAUUGAGGGUGCACUUCUCACUCUGGCCAUUGUGCAGCAGCUCUUUAGAGGAAAAAAAAAAAAAGACUUGUUUUGGGUGAGUUGAAGGGGAAAGAGAAGAAAACCUAAUCACUUUCUGGAUUUAAGCUAAUUCCUGUGUUACAGUUGCAAAGAUGGGAUGAAGCAAAUUUUCUGCUUUGUUAAGGCUCCUAAUCAGAGAAAAGCCAGAGCUGCAGUGAGUACUUGUGAUCUUGGCUGGAAGAUACAGGAGAAAUCAGAGUGACACACCGAAGAUCUGAGUUCAUCAUUCAAGCUUUCCUUCUCAGUUUGUCUGUCUGCUGUACCCAUGACAGAGGACACAAAGGAACUAAUGAAGGAGCAGACUGUUUUGCCCAGUCAGGCACAACAGAAUUUCACUAUGGAAGUUCCAUUAGACAGUUACAGGCUGAGACCUAAAACUGCAUAGUGGAUGUAGGGGUUACACAUCUGCCUUCUGUGUGGAACACAUUUCAUGCCGUUGAAUUAGCAAUGAAAUAAAUGUCAGCAUCUGAGCUGAA